rnacentral:snRNA from 1 species
UCAGCUUUCUCUGCCUUCUGGCUUAGAUCAAGUGUAGUAUCUGUUCUUAUUCAGCCUAAUCGCUGAUAGCCCUGCAUCGCAGGACUUUACUGAUUAUGCAGUCUUUGGACCUCGUGACUUGGCCUCUGUGCUUGCAUAUGCCUCGUUGCACUGUGUCACUGGGCUCACACUACCCCGGUCGACGCGAAAUCCU